UACAAAUGAGAAUACUAAACGUAAAUUAUUUUUAUCAUUCUAUAUCUGGGAUAAGUUCCUAUAUCAGCACAUAACUUCAUUUCUUUUAAUGAAUGUUGCAUUAUAUGGAUGCACCUGAAUUUAGUUAAAUAACCAGGAUUUAUUUAAUAAUUAUUCAUUUGAAGAAUUAGUCAUUUAUUUAAGAACAUUUUCUAUAUUCAGGUAUGACUUUGUCUAAGUCACUUUGAUUCCACCUUGAUUCCACUCUUAGUCAACGUUUUCACAUAAUUAUGUGAACUAUCGGAAUCUUAAUUCAGAUGGUUUUCAGCCAGUUCUCGGGGUAUUGAAUGUAUUCCAGAGACUUCUUUGCUGCAAUAUACGUCAAUCAUCAAAACAAGCUUGUAGAGAGAGAGAGAGAGGCAGAGUGCAAGCAGGGGAGGGGCAGAGAAAAAGAGGGAGACACAAAACCCGAAGCAGGCUUCAGGCCCAGAGCUGUCAGCCCAGAGCCCGACGCGGGGCUUGAACUCGCAAAUGGUAAGAUCAUGACCCGAGCUGAAGUCGGAAGCUCAACCGACUGACCCACCCAGGCACCCCGGCAACAUUUUUUAGAAAGAACUUUUGACAUUGUUUUCCUGUAAGCAUUUGACAGGUGUUUUUAAUCACACAGUAUUCAUUAGUUGUUCACUUACAAUUUGGCACAUUUGCAUUAUGAAGCCUCAAGUGUUUUCAUUUCUAAAAAGGUCAGCACUGUGGGCUUAAGUCUUUUUCAAAGAUAAAUCCCAUUAAACUUUGCUUUACAAAAAAAUGAAAGAAGACCCACAAGAGCAAAACUGAGGAAGGAGAAAUCAACCAUUACACUAAAACCAGGAAGACCGAUUUAUCGCAGUUCAGUCCUUUGUUGCCACGAUGCCAGAAAAUGAGGUUGACACAUGUUCUUUAAAGAUUCUUCUUGUUUUUCUUUUGAAAUAAUCUCGAACUUACAGAAAAGCUGCAAGAACAGUACAAAGAAUAUUUUGUCAACCGUUUGGGUAAAGGUGGUCGACAUGACACUCCAUCACCCCCAAACACUUCAGUGUAUUGUUUCCGGCACAAAAAUGCAUUCUCCACAACCAUAAUACAGCCGUUAAAAUGAGAAUAUUCACACUGAUAACGUUAGCUCCGUCCAAUCCUCACAUCUCCAAGUUUUGCCGGUCGUUCCAAUUUUGCCCCUUAGAGCACAGGGAUCCCGAUAACAGUCAGGCAUCCCAUUGAGUUAACAGAUCUUGUGUGUCUCAUUUAGCCCGGAACGGUUCCUUGGUGUCCCUUUGACCGUCAUGCCCCUGACGCUUCUGAAGGUUCCAGGCACCGAAAUUUGGAUACUUUCCUUACCCCACGUGGGCUGCGGCACCUCAUUCAGGGCUGCCUCCUGCAAGCGUGCCCUCCUGCACGGAGACCCUCCACUUGGGCCGGACGCCCCAAGCCCUGCUGCCCUUGCCAUCGCAGUGACGCCACCUCACCCUGCUCGGGCUCCGGCACCCUGGCACCGGGGCCCCCACCCAGGCAGCACCCCUCACCCCACUGAGGCGACAGCACCUUGCGCCAGGCAGCCCCUCCACGGACACCCACCUCACCCUGCUCCGGUGCUGACAGCCUGCAAUGCGGACGUCGCGGCGCCCCACUCCCCGGGUGGCUGGUCUCACGCAAAGGCUGACUUGCUCAGGGAGAGAGGGAUCACGGGAAAAAGGACAAGCUUCGGAUGGUGUUCAGAAAAGCGUCUUAGUAUCUGUAGGUGAGUCGUAGCCGAACCGGCUGACGAACUUAAGUCCUUUUACUUAAGCAGAAAGCACAAACCGUAAGCACAAAAGCGUUCUCAUUUACAUCAUGAAUCCCAAAGGAGUAUUUUGAAGUGUUAAAACGGGUGGUCACAUUUGACUGUGAUUAUUUUAAAAACAUGCGCAGAGAAUUCACUCAGUCUUCAACAUUUUCUAUGUAUACACAAAAAUGAAACCAAUAAAAAUUAUCGUAUAAGACA